AUGUCUAGACCUGAUUGGAUCGAUAUCCCCGAUGGUAAGUUCUACCUAGGAGGUGUUGGAUAUGCAUGUCGGCCUGGUGUUCUUCCACCCUUAAGGAAAAUUAGGUACAAUAUGAACUAAUUCUAUUCUAGGAACUAUCCUAGAUCUGCACAGGAAUUGUUCAAUCUCAAAUACUCUAGCCAUAGAGCUACAGUUCAAAGGGCAUUUGGAAUUUUCAAGAAUAUAUUUAAGAUACAAGAUCAGAGGCUGAUCCAUCUUUUCCCCACCCAGGUUAGACUUGUUCUGGCAUGUUGCAUUCUCCAAAACUGGAUCCUAGAAUGGGGUUGUGAUGCGUUUGUGCUAGACGAGGAAGAUGUGACGUCGAAUGAGGAUAACUCCAGAUAUGGUGUGCAGGCAUAUGACAAUAAAUCUUGGAAGAUAAAAAGGUUCGUGUGUGUCGAGGCACAUUGGGAAAACAGAGUUAAGACAAGGAUCUGGAGAAGAAGAAGCAACAAUAAUAGCAAAAUAAGAAGAAGACAAGGAUGGACUUUCCCCUAG
rnacentral:rRNA from 1 species